rnacentral:ncRNA from 1 species
GGGCCUAGGCGAGACGAAGAUCCGCUGGGCGAUGAAGAUGGUCGCUCCAGUCCGGCGGGGAGUCAGUAGCGAAACCGGCGCCUGCGAAG